GGCUCGUUGGUCUAGGGGUAUGAUUCUCGCUUUGGGUGCGAGAGGUCCUGGUUUCAAAUCCCGGAUGAGCCC
rnacentral:tRNA from 1 species